rnacentral:rRNA from 1 species
UAUUUAGGUAGCGCCUCGUGAAUUCAUCUCCGGGGGUAGAGCACUGUUUCGGCUAGGGGGCCAUCCCGGCUUACCAACCCGAUGCAAACUGCGAAUACCGGAGAAUGUUAUCACGGGAGACACACGGCGGGUGCUAACGUCCGUCGUGAAGAGGGAAAACCCAGACCGCCAGCUAAGGUCCCAAAGUCAUGGUUAAGUGGGAAACGAUGUGGGAAGGCCCAGACAGCCAGGAUGUUGGCUUAGAAGCAGCCAUCAUUUAAAGAAAGCGUAAUAGCUCACUGGUCGAGUCGGCCUGCGCGGAAGAUGUAACGGGGCUAAACCAUGCACCGAAGCUGCGGCAGCGACACUAUGUGUUGUUGGGUAGGGGAGCGUUCUGUAAGCCGUUGAAGGUGUGCUGUGAGGCAUGCUGGAGGUAUCAGAAGUGCGAAUGCUGACAUAAGUAACGAUAAAGCGGGUGAAAAGCCCGCUCGCCGGAAGACCAAGGGUUCCUGUCCAACGUUAAUCGGGGCAGGGUGAGUCGACCCCUAAGGCGAGGCCGAAAGGCGUAGUCGAUGGGAAACAGGUUAAUAUUCCUGUACUUGGUGUUACUGCGAAGGGGGACGGAGAAGGCUAUGUCGGCCGGGCGACGGUUGUCCCGGUUUAAGCGUGUAGGUGUGUGCUCCAGGCAAAUCCGGUGCACUUUAACACUGAGGCGUGAUGACGAGGCACUACGGUGCUGAAGUGACAAAUGCCCUGCUUCCAGGAAAAGCCUCUAAGCAUCAGGUAACACGAAAUCGUACCCCAAACCGACACAGGUGGUCAGGUAGAGAAUACCAAGGCGCUUGAGAGAACUCGGGUGAAGGAACUAGGCAAAAUGGUGCCGUAACUUCGGGAGAAGGCACGCUGAUAUGUAGGUGAAGUGAUUUACUCAUGGAGCUGAAAUCAGUCGAAGAUACCAGCUGGCUGCAACUGUUUAUUAAAAACACAGCACUGUGCAAACACGAAAGUGGACGUAUACGGUGUGACGCCUGCCCGGUGCCGGAAGGUUAAUUGAUGGGGUUAUCCUCGCGGAGAAGCUCUUGAUCGAAGCCCCGGUAAACGGCGGCCGUAACUAUAACGGUCCUAAGGUAGCGAAAUUCCUUGUCGGGUAAGUUCCGACCUGCACGAAUGGCGUAAUGAUGGCCAGGCUGUCUCCACCCGAGACUCAGUGAAAUUGAACUCGCUGUGAAGAUGCAGUGUACCCGCGGCAAGACGGAAAGACCCCGUGAACCUUUACUAUAGCUUGACACUGAACACUGGUCCUUGAUGUGUAGGAUAGGUGGGAGGCUUUGAAGUGUGGACGCCAGUCUGCAUGGAGCCGCCCUUGAAAUACCACCCUUUAAUGGCUGGUGUUCUAACGUGGGCCCGUAAUCCGGGUUGCGGACAGUGUCUGGUGGGUAGUUUGACUGGGGCGGUCUCCUCCUAAAGAGUAACGGAGGAGCACGAAGGUCAGCUAAUCCUGGUCGGACAUCAGGAGGUUAGUGCAAUGGCAUAAGCUGGCUUGACUGCGAGCGUGACGGCGCGAGCAGGUGCGAAAGCAGGUCAUAGUGAUCCGGUGGUUCUGAAUGGAAGGGCCAUCGCUCAACGGAUAAAAGGUACUCCGGGGAUAACAGGCUGAUACCGCCCAAGAGUUCAUAUCGACGGCGGUGUUUGGCACCUCGAUGUCGGCUCAUCACAUCCUGGGGCUGAAGUAGGUCCCAAGGGUAUGGCUGUUCGCCAUUUAAAGUGGUACGCGAGCUGGGUUUAGAACGUCGUGAGACAGUUCGGUCCCUAUCUGCCGUGGGCGCUGGAGAACUGAGGGGGGCUGCUCCUAGUACGAGAGGACCGGAGUGGACGCAUCACUGGUGUUCGGGUUGUCAUGCCAAUGGCACUGCCCGGUAGCUAAAUGCGGAAGAGAUAAGUGCUGAAAGCAUCUAAGCACGAAACUUGCCCCGAGAUGAGUUCUCCCUGACUCCUUGAGAGUCCUGAAGGAACGUUGAAGACGACGACGUUGAUAGGCCGGGUGUGUAAGCGCAGCGAUGCGUUGAGCUAACCGGUACUAAUGAACCGUGAGGCUUAACCUU